AGUGAACGCUGGCGGUAGGCCUAACACAUGCAAGUCGGACGGCAGCACAGUAAGAGCUUGCUCUUACGGGUGGCGAGUGGCGGACGGGUGAGGAAUACAUCGGAAUCUACUUUUUCGUGGGGGAUAACGUAGGGAAACUUACGCUAAUACCGCAUACGACCUACGGGUGAAAGCAGGGGAUCUUCGGACCUUGCGCGAUUGAAUGAGCCGAUGUCGGAUUAGCUAGUUGGCGGGGUAAAGGCCCACCAAGGCGACGAUCCGUAACUGGUCUGAGAGGAUGAUCAGCCACACUGGAACUGAGACACGGUCCAGACUCCUACGGGAGGCAGCAGUGGGGAAUAUUGGACAAUGGGCGCAAGCCUGAUCCAGCCAUACCGCGUGGGUGAAGAAGGCCUUCGGGUUGUAAAGCCCUUUUGUUGGGAAAGAAAAGCAGCAGGUUAAUACCCCGCUGUUCUGACGGUACCCAAAGAAUAAGCACCGGCUAACUUCGUG
rnacentral:rRNA from 1 species